UAAGUGGUAAGAUCAAAUUUUAAUUAGUAAUAUUCUAUUGUAAUAGGGAAAAGAGUUUAACAUGACUUUAACUUCAAUUUAUAUAGAGGGUGACUGGGUGAUACAAAAGGAGUACGAGGGAAUAGGACAGGAAAUGAGUGAGGCCUCAGUGAGUCAGGGAAGUCAAAAUUACAAAAAGUGGGAGGGGGGAUUGGUUUAGUGAAACCCCUUUGGGUUUGAUAACCUGUGACUAUUGACGUUAGGCUCCUAGUCUCCCACAGAAGCUAGAAUACCAUAUCUCAAGUCUUGACCAGAACAAACCGUAAGUUCUUUUGGCAGCCUUGACUUUUCUCAGGCAGGUACUCUGAGGGGGCUGAGGGUCAUCAUCCUAGGGAUAUGGUCUUGGGCUGUUAGUGUUUUGCUCAAGUCUUUGCAGGCCAAGGUUGUAGUCCCAUCAGGAAGAGGGCUGAGCAGAGUCUGGCUAGGGUUUGGCCAAAGAGAGAGUUUGUCAUCACUGCAUCUUGAUAUUUCAGGUGCUUUGACUCUCACUACGAGUUCCCAGUUUUACAUCUCUUCCGCAGUAUUACUUUGCCUCCCACAUACCGAGCUGCAGGAUGAACCCACCAUGUGUAGAAACAAAAAGUGGAAUGCUGGAGCCAGCUUGCACAGGCUAACAAGAAUGAAGUAUGAACUUGUCUUCCCAACUGUUCGUUCAGUGACAUCACAUGAUAGAUUGAAAUCAGCUGUCAUGGGACUUUGUUCACCAAGGUAAUCAUCAACCGCUAUAAACCAAGGCCUUUUAUCUCCCUGGAAAGCUAAUGAUUGGACAUUUACCAGCAGACCACUGGAAGUAUGCUGGAAUAUCUCUACUGGACCCCUGGACUUCACAAAGCUACCUGUAUGGAAUGACUGAGAGACCCCAGCAGAGCUGGUCUCAAGCCAACGGGGACACAAGCAAAACCCCACAUCCCUGUAAAGUCUUUGUGCCCCAGCAUCUCCCCUGAGAUCCACAUUCUCCAUCACUGGGCUGCCAAGUAAAUGAAACAGACACUUGGUCUUUCUGGAGAAAUAUGAUCAAUACAAUGAAUACAUACCUUCCAGAAGCUCAAUUUGCUGAUGAAUCAGUAUCUGAUCUAUCUAUUAUA